AUUGUACUCCCUCCGUUCCAUAAUGCAUGACUUCCAUUUGUCAAAAUAUAAAUGUAUCUAGACAUGUUUUAGUAUGUAGAUACAUCCAUUUUUGAAGUCAAGUAUUUUGGAACGGAGGGAGUAGUAG
rfam:Triticum aestivum genome assembly, contig: Triticum_aestivum_CS42_TGACv1_scaffold_211851_3AS